rnacentral:lncRNA from 1 species
CCGAGGCCCCGCCCUCUGGCUGACUCGGAGCAGCCCAGCCAGGCAGCGGGCAACCAGGAAGGAACAAGGCAGACCCCCUGGCUUUGAGCAGAGAACAGGAGGCCCUCCGGAGAGGCCGGCGGUCCACGAGGGCAACUGUGAAACCAGGGACCCUGAGCAGACUUCUCUCCUUCACCUGAACUCUACGAGGAGAUGGAGCCUGGGUGCCAGGAGAGACCCCUGUGCCCGUCCCUCUCCUCCGGGAGCCCAGACGAAUGUGGGAUGUCUCUGAACGUCCUCCGGGAGGAGCCCCAUCUCAGAGCUGCUCCUCAGGGCCCGAGCCGAAGGACCGGGAUGCGGGGCUGGAGAGACAGGCCAUCCACGAACAGACAAAGGGGGGGCACCAAGCUCCACGAGAGGCAGGCCUGCGGCCCCAGGGAGACAACGGUGCCCUGGGACCAGGUGCCAAUGGAACGUGAGUGAUGCCAGCAGCUGCCAGGGGCCACUUUACAAAGGACGAGGGGAGCUGGGGCCAUAGGGCUGGAUGGUUGUUCCCAACACUGGGUAAUUUAAAGCAAGGAAAUGAUAGGCUCGAAUCAAAAUGUUCGCCUCAAGGCACAGAAUAAAAUUCAAGGCCAUUAUAUGAAAGAAUCUUUU